UCCAAGAACCCUUAUUUUCUCUCCCAAACCCCCUUUCUAAUUGAGCCAUCAUAUAAGCUAAAUCCUAGACCCUUGACAUGAUAUUAGUUAAAGAGAAGUUGUAGCCUAAGUUUUCCUUGUGUUGUAAGCAAGAAGCUGGAAAGAGGAACAAGAUUCUUGAAGAUUCUGAUUGUUAAAGGAUAAGUGUUUUUGGGCAGCAAGUACAAGUUAUAAUACGACUAAACGCUAAAGGUACAGACGUUCAUUUCGGAGAUCCGCCAGCUUAGGACACUUAUUCAGCU